rnacentral:rRNA from 1 species
AUACGGAGGAUGCAAGCGUUAUCCGGAUUUAUUGGGUUUAAAGGGUGCGUAGGCGGUUUGUCAAGUCAGCGGUGAAACGCAAGGGCUUAACCCUUGACCUGCCGUUGAAACUGGCGGACUUGAAUGCGGAUGCUGUGGGAGGAAUGUGUGGUGUAGCGGUGAAAUGCAUAGAUAUCACACAGAACACCGAUUGCGAAGGCAUCUCACAAAUCCGUGAUUGACGCUGAGGCACGAAAGUGUGGGGAUCAAACAGGAUUAGAUACCCUGGUAGUCCACACUGUAAACGAUGAUGACUCGCUGUCGGCGAUAUACAGUCGGUGGCCAAGCGAAAGCGAUAAGUCAUCCACCUGGGGAGUACGACCGCAAGGUUGAAACUCAAAGGAAUUGACGGGG